AACGAACGCUGGCGGCGUGCCUAAGACAUGCAAGUCGCGCGAGAAAAGGGCUUCGGCCCCCAGUAGAGCGGCGCACGGGUGAGUAACGCGUGGGUAAUCUGCCUCCGGGUCCGGGAUAACCUCGGGAAACUGGGGCUAAUACCGGAUGAGACCACGAGGUCCUCGGGCCUCGCGGGAAAAGGUGGCCUCUUCAUGAAAGCUUUCGCCUGGAGAUGAGCCCGCGUCCCAUUAGCUAGUUGGUGAGGAACGGCUCACCAAGGCUCCGAUGGGUAGCUGGUCUGAGAGGACGACCAGCCACACUGGAACUGAGACACGGUCCAGACUCCUACGGGAGGCAGCAGUCGGGAAUUUUGGGCAAUGGGGGAAACCCUGACCCAGCAACGCCGCGUGA
rnacentral:rRNA from 1 species